rnacentral:tRNA from 3 species
GCCCGGGUGGUGUAGUCCGGUCAGCAUAGAGGCCUGUCGAGCCUCAGACCCGGGUUCAAAUCCCGGCCCGGGCG